UAAAGUGGCGUACGGGUGAGUAACACGUGGAUCAUCUACCUUCUAGUGGGGAAUACCCCCGGGAAACUGGGGACAAUACCGCAUAAGCUCGUAAGAGGAAAGCAGCAAUGCGCUGGAAGAGGAGUCCGCGGCUGAUUAGCUAGUUGGCGGGGUAACGGCCCACCAAGGCGAAGAUCGGUAGCCGGCCUGAGAGGGCACACGGCCACACUGGCACUGAAAUACGGGCCAG
rnacentral:rRNA from 1 species